CCCAGCUACUCGGGAGGCUGAGGCAAGAGAAUUGCUUGAGCCCAGGAGUUGGAGGUUGCUGUGAGCUGUGUGAGGCCACGGCACUCUACCGAGGGCCAUAAAGUGAGACUCUGUCUCUACAAAAAAAAAAAAAUUUUUACCGUUAAGGUCAGGCACAGUGGCUCACGCCUGUAAUCCUAGCACUCUGGAAGUCUGAAGUGGGUGGACUGCCUGAGCACAGAAGAUUGAGACCAGCUUAAGCCAGAUACUGUCUCUAAAAAUAGCCAGGCAUUGUGGCCAGCACUUGUAGUCCCAGCUACUUGGAAGGUUGAGGCAAGAUAAUCGUUUUAAGAGUUUGAAGGUGCUGUGAGCUAUGAUGCCGGAACACUCUAUCAAGGGUGACAAAGUAACUCUGUC